rnacentral:lncRNA from 1 species
AAAUAUUGUUCAAAAGGGAUCUUGAUCUAUGGGAGGUUUAUAGCUCUGUGCAACAUUGGAGGUUGGAUUUGGUGACUUUGAAAGUUCUUUCCAGUCCAGAGUGCCCAGCACACAGUCAUUCCUGCUAAUGGGACACCACAUGUGAUGCUCAAACCUAGGUAGGACAGUGUGCCACAUGCCACCAGCCCCAGGGUUACAUAACAAAGCAGCAAUGUCCCCUGGCACAGUAGUACAGAAUCAGAGCACUGAAAGAACAAAAGAAACUGUGAUUUUUCUGGGAGGGGGAGGAUUUCUUUCCUAGGAAUACAAGUGCUUUUGUUAAGAGCCAAAGGAGAACUGGCAAUUUGUGAGCUUUCCCCUUCCUUUCCCACCUUUCAUGUUCCAGCCUGAGUCAUGUAUCAAAUCUCUUCCAGCUUCCCAAGUGGAGCCUCAGUGAGAAACAGGGUUCAGGCUUAAAUGAAGGAAGAAAUACAAUGGAGUGUAAUGAAUCCCACACAGUGUCCUGAAUUGAGGCAGAACUGAAUGGUACAGAGAGAUUUAUUCUCCAAUGAAAUUGUGGGUGAGGUGCAGCUCAGCCUUGUUUCCCUCCACCUGCCAAGAAAACAUCUGGUUUAGAUGGAAAAAUUAUUGCAGAAUAUUACCAUGAUAUAGCUGCUCUGGUCAAGUCCUGCUGGUUCCCACAUUGCAGGAGUGCAGGACAACUCUGAUUGAUUAUUUACUGUAUAUCUACAAACAGAAGGGUUGGGAAACCAGCAGGCACAUACCAGAUCACAUACCAGGCAGCCUAAGGGAUCAGCUUUACACUGCUCCUGAGCAGACACUCAGUUCAAGGCACAAGCUGUCCCUUAAACUAAUAAAAAGCAUUGCAACUACAAGUUUAUUUAAUCCACCAGGGAGCCAAGAAUAUGGCAUUGCCUCAAGUGGUUUCUUCUUUAGGGUAUAAAACUUGGAAUAAUAUUCACUUUUCCAAAUUAAAUAUUAAAGUGCUACCAUCUGGGAAUUGCUUCCUUCCUCUCACUCCUGUCUUUAUCUGCUAUUUUUUCCAACAGGACCUUCCAAAGCUUGAUCCUAGAAUUGGCUGGACCAUAGUUUAUUGGAAGGCAGAAGCACAGGAAGGCAGCAGGCAGAGAUUUAGGGAGGAGGAGAAGAGACAGCAAUUUGUUACCUCCUCACCCUGGCUUCCAUCUCCUGCUGAGCAGGAAUUUGACUGGGGUUGCUCAGAGGGGCUGAGGCUGGUCCAGCACUGCCAGUGGCUGGAGGGGAAGGCUGUACCUACCAUCAUGGCUGGGGAUGACUCACCAGAGCUGCCCAAAUCUUAGCUUCCUCAAAAGCUGUUCAGGCUCUGAGCAUGGCCCCAUGAAGGUACCAAACCUCCUGUCACAAUUCUCUCUUGUGUGAGACGGGAAAGGUUCUCCAGUGGCAGUAAAAAGAGAGCACCACCACAGAGUAGACAAAAUGAUGUAUCUAGAAAGAAGAAAAUCCUACAAAUAAAAUACAAAACUUUCCUUUCA